rnacentral:rRNA from 1 species
ACAACAGUGAUGCCCUCAGUAAUGGCGAAUGAACCGGGCAGAGUCCAGCGCCGAACCGCUGAUAUUCACGGUGUCAUGCGGAAUGUGGUGUUUGAGAGAGCCUUAUCACUUGACGUUGAUGAGUCCAAGUGCAUCUUGAAUGAAACCAUUGCCCAUAGAGGGUGAUAGGCCCGUACGGCCGUCAACGUUCUGUGCUGGCUUCUUCUCUAGAGUCGAGUUGCUUGGGAGUGCAGCUCAAAGUGCGAGGUAAACUCCUCGUAAGACUAAAUAUCAUCCCAAGACCGAUAGCGAACAAGUACCGUGAGGGAAAGUUGAAAAGGACUUUGAAGAGAGAGUUCAAGAGUACGUGAAACUGCUUAGUGGUAAACGGAGGCGUUCUCGAAGUUUGGAGCGGAGAUUCAUGUCUUGGGCGUCAAAACUCAUGGCUGUAUUUCUCUGCGUCUGAACACAACGGGCCGUUGGUGCUGAUCUUGGCCAGGGAUAGAUGUAGUCUCUACUCUGUGCAACCGAUUUUGGCGCCGACGGUCGUAUUGGUGUUCCGUUCUGCGGUUCACCGUUGUUGUGAGUAGGUCGGUGGCGUCUCCGACCCGUCUUGAAACACGGACCAAGGAGUCUAACAUGUGUGCAAGUCGCAGGGUUUACUAAACCCUUGGGCACAGUGAAAGCGAAGGAUACCGUUGGGUGUCUGAAAGAUGAUUGCUGUCCUACGUGGACGGUGCGCAAUCUUGGCGUUCUGUAUUGACCUCGUUUCAUGCAGAACAGCUAGAGCAUACAUGUUGGGACCCGAAAGAUGCGUGAACUAUGCCUGGCCAGGUUGAAGUCAGGGGAAACUCUGAUGGAGGACCGUAGCGAUUCUGACGUGCAAAUCGAUCGUCGGAGCUGGGUAUAGGGGCGAAAAACUAAUCGAACCAUCUAG